AAACUGAGGAUAAUACCGGAUAGGCAAUUAUUCCUGUAAUGGUUUUUUGUUUAAAUGUUUUUUCGCCUAAGGAUGAGUCUGCGGCCGAUUAGGUAGUUGGUUAGGUAAUGGCUUACCAAGCCGUUGAUCGGUACGGGUUGUGAGAGCAAGAGCCCGGAGAUGGAACCUGAGACAAGGUUCCAGGCCCUACGGGGUGCAGCAGGCGCGAAACCUCCGCAAUGUGAGAAAUCGCGACGGGGGGAUCCCAAGUGCCAUUCUUAACGGGAUGGCUUUUCAUUAGUGUAAAGAGCUUUUGGAAUAAGAGCUGGGCAAGACCGGUGCCAGCCGCCGCGGUAACACCGGCAGCUCUAGUGGUAACAAUUUUUAUUGGGCCUAAAGCGUCCGUAGCCGGUUUAAUAAGUCUCUGGUGAAAUCCUGUAGCUUAACUGUGGGAAUUGCUGGAGAUACUAUUAGACUUGAGACCGGGAGAGGUUAGAGGUACUCCCAGGGUAGAGGUGAAAUUCUGUAAUCCUGNGAGGGCCGCCUGUUGCGAAGGCGUCUAACUGGAACGGUUCUGACGGUGAGGGACGAAAGUUAGGGGCGCGAACCGGAU
rnacentral:rRNA from 1 species